CCACUCGCUCACGCUCUCCCCUCCGGGAACCGUCCCACAAGACAAGGGCCUGAGGCCCCGCCCCUCACACGCAACAGCGUACGCAGGCACGCUCACGCAAUCAGAGCCACGGGGGGGUGGGGUCGCUCGCGAGCCAGCCCGAAGCCCCGCCCCUGCACAACACGUAGCACGCACGGCCGCGCGCACGCGCAGGGCCUAUUUUGCGCUCCCCCGGGGCCCCACUCCUCAUUCCCCGUAGGAAGUCACGGAGGCGUCUUCUGGCACUGAGGCGUUUGCUAGAUCUGUUCAACCAAACCCAGCCUCCACCCUCCGCAAUUCGUUGCUCUCCUCGGCUUCCACGCCUGCACGUUCCCGUCCCGUUUGGGGUCUUCUCCCCCUAGGACCCUCCCCGUUGUCCCCCGGCUCAGCUGGACUUAGAGCUGGGCUCACCCGCGCUUGCGCACUUGGAGCUCAGGCUGCAACUCCCAGAAGCCUGUGGGGCGCGGCACGGCUCUGGUCGGCCAGACCCAGACGUGAGGUUGAGGAAUCCCGGCCCGCAGUGGCUCCGACCUGUCCGGUCCGUGACGAAGUGACCCGCGAGAGGGGCGGAGGGAUGUUCGUCCAGGCUGGAAUGGAAAUCUCACUUACGCCUUCAUUGAACGAAGAGCCCCAGAAUCCUUUGCGCGCCGCCGUUCCGUCCGUCAGACUACAUUUCCCAGGAGACCCUGCGUGUGGUGACGGGGAGGUGAGGAAUUCAAUCCUGGGAAACAGUCCGACAGAAUAUUCGGAGGAGCUGCUGCCGGUGUGUGAGUUUAGGUGCAGCGCGCGUCUCUCACGAAACAGUCAUGGCCUGACAAGCAGUGUGGGUCUGUGCCUGGGAUCUGAACCCAUAAACCCAAGCUGCCAAAGUGGAGCAAGCCGAACUUAGCCACUAGGCCACAGGGCUGGCCUCCAGUUUUUGUGUUUCUAGAGACACAGGCAUUCAAGACAACCAGAGAAGUGAUGCAAACUGACGUUGCGUUAUCAGCUCGGCCUUGGAAUUGAAGAACGACCUGGGAAAGAAUUGAAUGAGGAGAUGGGAGGUUCAGAAGCGAGGGUCUUUCUGAUUCUUGUUCCUGCCCAGCUAGAUUUAUUUUCUAUCUAUGGUGAUAGAUCCCAGUUGACAACAGAUUGUUCCCAGCUGGGACCUCCCUUGGAGUGGACGAUCUCCAAUAUCCAGUUGGUUCCUGAAUAGGGAGGGAAAAGAGAGAGUCGUCUUUUUCAAUCUGACUUUUCACUCUAACACUACAUCUUUUUUUUUUUAUGAUAGCUUUAUUGAGAUAUAACUCAUAUACCAUACAAUUUACCCAUAUAAAGUACACAAUUCCAUGGUUUUUAGUAUAGUCAUAGAUAUGUGCAACCAUCACCACCAGUUAAUUUUAGAACAUUUUUAUCACCUCAGAAAGAAACUCAUAAUUCUAGAUGCCAGGAUUUUUAUUGGCAAAAAUCUGUGUCAAACUCCAGAAUUUGCCUAUUCUGGAGAUUUAAUAUUGAUGGAAUCAUAUGCUAUGUGACCUUUUCUGUCUGGUCUCUUGUGUUAAUCAUGUUUUGUAUUUUCUGUAAUUUAUGGUGUUUUGACAUCUUGAGGGGCCUAGCCACCUGGGGAGAGACUGCCCCCUCCAGGGCCAGCUAAUUCUUAGAUAGUAAACAACUUCCCUGAGAAUGUACAUUCCAUAUGCAAACCAAUCCUCAGCCCAUAUUCUCACCCACCUCUCAUACACCAAGCCAAUAUUUUCCCUGUCCUAAAUCAACCCAGGGCCAGGUACCAGAAACAAGAGACCAUCCCUAUAGCCCACAGUCCAUGACAUUAUUCAAACCAGCCAGUCCUUGGAAAACUCAAAAAAGCUCUGGGUCAUGCUUUCCCCUCACUCCUUGCUGCCUCUUGACCAAACCUGGUGCUUCCCUCUGUGGCCCUGCAUAGGGUAGUGUGUCCCCUUCUCUUGUAAAUAAUAAACUCUUCUCAUCAAGGUAGUUGUCCCUGUGU
rnacentral:lncRNA from 1 species